rnacentral:rRNA from 1 species
GAGUUUGUCGGUUGGUCGGGCUUCACUGUCCGCACUGGCCUGAUGGAUUCCUACCUUCUGAAUAACCAGCAUGUCAUUAAUUUGGUGCGCCGGGGAAGCAGGACUGUUACCUUGAAAAAAUUAGAGUGCUUAAAGCAGGCUUACGCUUGAAUAGAUUAGCAUGGAAUAAUAAAAUAGGACGGCUUGGUUCUAUUUUGUUGGUUUCUAGGAUCACCGUA